rnacentral:rRNA from 1 species
UACGUAGGUCCCGAGCGUUGUCCGGAUUUAUUGGGCGUAAAGCGAGCGCAGGUAGUUUAUUAAGUCUGGUGUAAAAGGCAGUGACUCAACCAUUGUAUGCAUUGGAAACUGGUAGACUUGAGUGCAGGAGAGGAGAGUGGAAUUCCAUGUGUAGCGGUGAAAUGCGUAGAUAUAUGGAGGAACACCGGUGGCGAAAGCGGCUCUCUGGCCUGUAACUGACACUGAGGCUCGAAAGCGUGGGGAGCAAACAGG